UACGGAGGGUGCAAGCGUUAUCCGGAUUCACUGGGUUUAAAGGGUGCGUAGGCGGGCAGGUAAGUCCGUGGUGAAAUCUCUGAGCUUAACUCAGAAACUGCCAUGGAUACUAUUUGUCUUGAAUAUUGUGGAGGUGAGCGGAAUAUGUCAUGUAGCGGUGAAAUGCUUAGAUAUGACAUAGAACACCCAUUGCGAAGGCAGCUCACUACACAAUGAUUGACGCUGAGGCACGAAAGCGUGGGGAUAAAACAGG
rnacentral:rRNA from 1 species